UUCCGUAGGGUGAACCUGCGGAGGGAUCAUUACCGAGUUUACAACUCCCAAACCCAAUGUGAACGUUACCAAACUGUUGCCUCGGCGGGAUCUCUGCCCCGGGUGCGUCGCAGCCCCGGACCAAGGCGCCCGCCGGAGGACCAACCAAAACUCUUUUGUAUACCCCCUCGCGGGUUUUUUAUAUCUGAGCCAUCUCGGCGCCUCUCGUAGGCGUUUCGAAAAUGAAUCAAAACUUUCAACAACGGAUCUCUUGGUUCUGGCAUCGAUGAAGAACGCAGCGAAAUGCGAUAAGUAAUGUGAAUUGCAGAAUUCAGUGAAUCAUCGAAUCUUUGAACGCACAUUGCGCCCGCCAGUAUUCUGGCGGGCAUGCCUGUCCGAGCGUCAUUUCAACCCUCGAACCCCUCCGGGGGGUCGGCGUUGGGGAUCGGCCCUUUACGGGGCCGGCCCCGAAAUACAGUGGCGGUCUCGCCGCAGCCUCUCCUGCGCAGUAGUUUGCACACUCGCAUCGGGAGCGCGGCGCGUCCAUUGCCGUAAAACACCCAACUUUCUGAAAUGUUGACCUCGGAUCAGGUAGGAAUCCCCGCUGAACUUAAGCAUAUCAAUAAGCGGAGGAA
rnacentral:rRNA from 1 species